rnacentral:rRNA from 1 species
UACGUAGGGGGCGAGCGUUGUCCGGAAUUAUUGGGCGUAAAGAGCUCGUAGGCGGCUUGGCAAGUCGGAUGUGAAAACUCCAGGCUCAACCUGGAGCCGCCAUUCGAUACUGCCAUGGCUAGAGUCCGGUAGGGGAGUGUGGAAUUCCCGGUGUAGCGGUGAAAUGCGCAGAUAUCGGGAGGAACACCGAUGGCGAAGGCAGCACUCUGGGCCGACACUGACACUGAGAGACGAAAGCUAGGGGAGCGAAUGGG